UUGAAAGGGAGAGGGGUUAGGUUUAUUCCCUUCAUUGUGGCUUUGGGAUUUUGGGAUAGUGUAGAAAAGGGAAGUGAGAAGACGAGAGAAAAUCGCGGAGGUGGGAAGACGAAGAUGGGUUCUUCGCGGUAGGGGUUUACUCCGGUCUUCUUCUCCGGUCCUCCUCCAUUGCAUGCUUCUAUUUCGAGCCAUGGGAUUCAGAAUCCCUAUAACUAUUUCCUAUUCUUCCGGUCUCCUUCUUUUCGAAUAGUGUCAAAUAGAUAACAAAAUGUCAGUGGAUUGAGCGUUGAUUUGCUUUAAACUAUAAGAUAUGGUGGAUAUAUAACUUGGGAGAUCUUCUCAUUUAAGGCACUUGAAGAACAUUAGGGGUGGGAGGUUUAGUUUCCUUUUUAAGUGAAUGUAUUAUGCUCAUUUUUAGCACCAAAUAUUGUUUAUUUAAAACAUUGUUUUCAGACAAUGUAAAUUACAUUUUUGAAUUUAUUUACUAUUUAUUAUCACUUUUUUAGAAUCUAUUUUG